rnacentral:lncRNA from 1 species
AUCAUGAAGAGGAUCUUGAGCUAGUUCUGACAAAUAAUUAAUAAUAAACAUUAUAAAACACUGUGUAUUAGUAUUUCCCAUCGAUGGAGAAAGAAUUAAGGAUAAUUAUUGCCUUAGAGACGUAAUCAUGGAGCCACGAAGGGAGCUCUUGGUUCUUGUGCUUCACUGCGUAUAUUAUACUUAGUAUUUUGGAGAUGAGCCACUUAAUCUUCCACCUAUCGUUAUAUCAAAAGUAUGUUACAAUGAGCCAAUUCGAGGGAAUCCAUCUCACAUGAAAGUUUCUCCAGAAUUAUUCCUCCACCAUCCUAAGGAUCGGGGUAAUUUUUAAACAUAGGUAGAAUAAAUUUUCUCCUUAGGAUCUUCCCCGGACUUGUUUGUAAAAAUACAGAACGUCCCCAGUCCGAUCUCAGCUAUUUUUGACGUUUGUCAGUGAAUGGAUUAUUCAAAAGGAUCUACAUGUUCUAUGUCAUUGCUAAUAACCAGCCGUUCAUUCCUUCGCCUUGUGAUUGAUGAAGGUUCUUCUCGUCACUGCCAAUAUUAACAGUCAAAGCUUACCUAAUCAUUUUGUUAAGGAUGAAUUCUAAUGUAAUGAAUGCAGAGAUCAGAGGACCAAGAUAAUUACUUCUGAAAUCUCGUAUAGAGAACAUCCGUUGUGUUUUAUGAGAUAAAAAGAAGUUAUUCAACACAGGGAUACCGUCUGAUAUAUAUUGACCUGCAGAUUGCAUAAGUAAUCCCUGGACUACUAAGGAACUCCCCCGUACUGUUCAAUUAUGAGUAUCAGUAAAAUGACAUCUAUGUUGAAGUUGAAAUAGUUUCAAGAGUACAACUUGUAUAACUGAUAUAGGGAGUAUAUUAAUAUAUAUAUAGAAUGAGGCGGCCAAAAAUCAAUCUACGAAUUGAAAAGAAUUAAGAGUGACCUCAUAGACUGAAACCGCCGUCAUGUCUUAAAUAUCGUUUCAAAUCUGUCUACAAAAGGUCAAUUGUGAUUGAACAAGAGAAAAAUUGAUCAUCGACUGAAUCUCAACACUUGUUUUUUUUUAUUAAAUUGUCUAAUCGAAUAUUGUAUUUAAGUAAUUCCAGUUUUAUCAAGUUUCAACUGAGAAAGAGGUUUCCCAUGCAUCUACUUAAAUGUUUUCCAAUGGGCAAUCUUUCAUUACGAAUAAAAAGCUAAAUUCAUAAUGUGACUAUAAUAUUUGAAA